rnacentral:rRNA from 1 species
AGAUUGAACGCUGGCGGCAUGCCUUACACAUGCAAGUCGAACGGCAGCACGGGAGCAAUCCUGGUGGCGAGUGGCGAACGGGUGAGUAAUAUAUCGGAACGUGCCCAGUCGUGGGGGGAUAACGCAGCGAAAGCUGUGCUAAUACCGCAUACGAUCUAUGGAUGAAAGCGGGGGAUCGCAAGACCUCGCGCGAUUGGAGCGGCCGAUAUCAGAUUAGCUAGUUGGUAGGGGUAAAGCCUACAAGGCGACGAUCUGUAGCUGGUCUGAGAGGACGACCAGCCACACUGGAACUGAGACACGGUCCAGACUCCGUAGGGAGCAGCAGUGGGUAAUUUUGGACAAGUGGCGACAAGCCUGAUCCAGUACAAGUGCCGCGUGCAGGA